AUAAUACUCACUCCGUUCUAUAAUUCUUGUCAAAAUCUUACAUGUAUCUAGACAUUUUUUAAAAAUAAAUACAUCUAUUUUUAGACAAAUUGGAGACAAGAAUUAUGGAACGGAGGGAAUAUCAC
rnacentral:pre_miRNA from 1 species